rnacentral:rRNA from 1 species
UACAGAGGAUGCAAGCGUUAUCCGGAUUUACUGGGUUUAAAGGGUGUGUAGGCGGACUUUUAAGUCCGUGGUGAAAUCUCCGGGCUCAACCCGGAAACUGCCAUGGAUACUAUUGGUCUUGAAUAUUGUUGAGGUGGGCGGAACGGGUCAUGUAGCGGUGAAAUGCAUAGAUAUGACCCGGAACACCGAUUGCGAAGGCAGCCCACUAAGCAAUGAUUGACGCUGAGGCACGAAAGCGUGGGGAGCGAACAGG